CUGUGAGGUCUAGAGAAGAUACUCUUGUUCUCUUUCUCAGAUGCCUAGGAGGCAGAGAAGGCAGAGAUGAAACUCCAUAUUUGACAGAUGAAGAAAUUGUGACUGAAUAAGAGGACCUGGAUCAGUACCCUGUGGGAGACCUAUAUUGUUAGUGGGUGUGAUCUGAAUAAGGAUCUGACAAAGGAGACUGAGAGGGAGCAAACAGAUUCCUUGAAUUCAGAGAGCCUUCAUUCCAAUUGUUGCAGUGAGCUCCCAGCUCAGCGAGAAAGAGUAAGAGGAGAAGGUACCAUUCUCAUUCUGGUUCCAAGAGAAUGGUGGAGGCUUUGGUUUGAGGCUCUCAGGCCAGAAAGCUAA
rnacentral:lncRNA from 1 species